rnacentral:lncRNA from 1 species
UGAUGUUCGUAGAGAAGCUAGUUGCGGAAGUAAGGGUGAUGAUGCAGCCGUGUUAGUGGAUUGCUGAUGAUUUUGCAUACUCUGAGCAAGGGUUGAGGAGCUGCUGCUAGUAGACAUGGAUGGAGGACUCCGGAAAGGCUGAAGAUGGGGAGCUGGAGCACGGAUCUCGCCAGCUAUCCUAAUAUUACCAGUGGAAGGGGUAAUUGCACUAAUGAGAGGUGGCCUGCUAGGAGUUCCUGCAGAAUGUGCUUUUGAACGACUAACAGCAGCUGUCUGCUGAGUAGGUACAGGUUGGCCAGCUAAAGACAACCCAGUAACAGGUGCACCUCUUAUGGUAGGCUGAGAAAUCCCACCAGAAUGUACUGAACGGCUAGAGGGGACAGAAGUCUCCUGUCUAACCUGUGGUUG